GGCCGCCGCAGUCGGGCGCUUGCUCGGAACCGCAUUAAACGACCAGUGUAGACGAGCGCAGUGCCCUUCGGGAGGGCAAGUGCGUGCCCACUGCCCCUUCCUUUGCCCCCUUCCCCGCAAAUCGCCAGAGAAGAGCUUGCCUCUCCCUCUCAGCACCAACGUUGCCUUCUCCUCCUUUUUCCCCCAUCAUCGAGGCUCCUUGUGGAGGACCACGAAACUGUGUGCCUUCCCACUUCGCCCUAUUCGCCACCAUUUCUCUCUACAAAGCACAGUUUUUCCUUCUCUCUCUGCCUCCCCCCCCCCCUCCCUCCCUCCCUCCCUCCUUUCCCUAAACCGCCCACUAUUAGUAUUCCGCUCGCGUCCCCGCUGCUCGCAGGAGCGCUUUUGCUGCAGCGCUCUCGGCGCCGUUGGUUGGCUGGCUCUUUGGCUGGCUGGCUGGCUAGUGCUGGGGUCGCCUUCUUCAUCCUCCUCCUCCUCUUCUCCAUCCUUUGCCAGCCGCCGGCUCGUGUGGGAGCCAAGAAGACCGACCCAGGAGGAGGAGAAGGGCUGGGCGGCAGGGCCGAGGAGGUGGUCUCCUCUUCCUCCUCCUCCUCUCCUUCUCCACGAUUUCUUCCUCUUCUUCUUCCUCAUCCCCACGCUCCUCCUCCUCUCCGCCAAAAGCCUGGAUGAAGCCCCAGCGUUGAAGGAGGCAGGAGAGAGAGAGAGACAGAGAAAUCAAAGGGGAAAGAGGGGGACCAACAAGGAAAGAGGGGAUGCUGCCCCCACGACGACCCCCGUUUGGGGUGAUCCUUGGGCCAAGACCACUGAAGCUUUCUAGAGGAGGAGCAUCUCUGAUCCCACUCUCGUCUGCCUUCUCCCUCCCAUUUCUUCAUUUUGGAUGUUUGUAACUCAGGUAUUGCCUGUAUCCUUUACUUUCCAAUGAAAUUCCGUGAAUGAACCAGACAAAUGGCAUGGACUCUUAGGAAAAGGAACUGGAUUUCAUUAGGUUUGCAGGAUGGGGAGAUGAGAAUCUGGACUUAUUCAGAAGGAGAGCAAAGGAAGAGCUUCUCUAGAUCUCAGAUUAAGGUUGGGCUUCCUAAAUUACGCACUAAGUCUGAGCAGAAAUUAGGAGAGAUUAGCUAUGAUGUCUGACUUGCAUUCAUUUAAUGAUAGCAGCAAGAAAAACUGCUCUCCCAUUUCUACUGCUGGUAUGAAGACAUCUGGGUUUAACCAGAAGUGUUUUGUGCUUUUUGUUUUUGCAUAGAAAGACUGUCAAUACCUUUCAGUUCUAGUACUGUAUUCAAAACAAAUUCUCAGAAUCUUUCAGUUUUUCAGUGUCUUAUCUUUUGUACUUGGGUCCAGUUGGAUAUCAGGGGUGCAGCUAAUGAAGGGAGAACAAAAGGAGGGCAAAUAAAUUCAUACAAAUCAUGAAAUUUUCCUUCAGUUCCCAAGGCUUUGGUAUUUUUGGUAGUGAUUUAAAAUGUCAGUCGACUAUUUAAAAAUGCAGUUUAUACAUCCAAAGAAAAGGGACAGAGUUAUCAAGAAAGUGUGGAGACAGCAAAUGUAAGAGUUCUGGUGUGAACUCCUGCAUUGCUAGAAAACUGAGAAUUGAAGGGAAAAAAUCAUUGAGGGGCAUAAUUCUAAUUUGGAAGGGUAGUGCUGUCAUUUUGACCCCUAU
rnacentral:lncRNA from 11 species